rnacentral:rRNA from 1 species
CUGGCGGCGUGCUUAACACAUGCAAGUCGAGCGAUGAAGCUCCUUCGGGAGCGGAUUAGCGGCGGACGGGUGAGUAACACGUGGGUAACCUGCCUCAUAGAGGGGAAUAGCCUUCCGAAAGGAAGAUUAAUACCGCAUAAGAUUGUAGUGCCGCAUGGCAUAGCAAUUAAAGGAGUAAUCCGCUAUGAGAUGGACCCGCGUCGCAUUAGCUAGUUGGUGAGGUAACGGCUCACCAAGGCGACGAUGCGUAGCCGACCUGAGAGGGUGAUCGGCCACAUUGGGACUGAGACACGGCCCAGACUCCUACGGGAGGCAGCAGUGGGGAAUAUUGCACAAUGGGGGAAACCCUGAUGCAGCAACGCCGCGUGAGUGAUGACGGUCUUCGGAUUGUAAAGCUCUGUCUUCAGGGACGAUAAUGAC